rnacentral:tRNA from 1 species
GGUCUAUUGGGGUAGUGGCUAUCCUUCCCGACUGUCUAUUGGGAGAAGUGGGUUCGAUUCCCACAUAGACCG